rnacentral:rRNA from 1 species
UACGGAGGAUGCAAGCGUUAUCCGGAAUGGUUGGGCGUAAAGCGUCCGCAGGUGGCAAUGUAAGUCUGCUGUCAAAGCGUCUGGCUCAACCAGAUAAAGGCAGUGGAAACUACAUAGCUAGAGUAAGGUAGGGGUAGAGGGAAUUCCUGGUGUAGCGGUGAAAUGCGUAGAGAUCAGGAAGAACACCGGUGGCGAAAGCGCUCUGCUGGACCUCAACUGACACUGAGGGACGAAAGCUAGGGGAGCGAAUGGG